GGUUCCAUAGUGUAGUGGUUAGCACGUCUGCUUAACACGUAGAAGGUCUUGGGUUCGUGUCGCAGUGGAGCCA